rnacentral:rRNA from 1 species
GGUUGCGAUCAUACCAGCACUAAUGCACCGGAUCCCAUCAGAAAUCCGCAGUUAAGCGUGCUUGGGCGAGAGUAAUACUAGGAUGGGUGACCUCCUGGGAAGUCCUCGUGUUGCAACCC